rnacentral:misc_RNA from 1 species
GAUGAAGAACUCAGCGAAAUGCGAUAAGUAAUGUGAAUUGCAGAAUUCAGUGAAUCAUCGAAUCUUUGAACGCACCUUGCGCCCUUUGGACUUCUGAAGGGCAUGCCUGUUUGAGUAUCAUGAACACCUCAACUCCUUAUGGUCUUCCAUGAUGAGCUUGGACUUUGGGGGUUUUGCUGGCCUACAGUCAGCUCCUCUAAAAUAAAUCAGCUUACCGGUGUUUGGUGGGUAUCAUGGGUGUGAUAACUAUCUACGCUCGUGGUUUUCCACCAGGUAACCUUCAGCAGUGGAGGUUCACUGGAGCUCAUAGAUGUCUCUCCUCAGCGAGGACAGCCCUUUGAAUGUUUGAUCUCAAAUCAGGUAGGACUACCCGCUGAACUUAAGCAUAUCAAUAAGCGGAGGA